AUUGAACGCUGGCGGCAGGCCUAACACAUGCAAGUCGAGCGGAAACGAAGGGAGCUUGCUCCCAGGCGUCGAGCGGCGGACGGGUGAGUAAUGCAUAGGAAUCUGCCCGAUAGUGGGGGAUAACCUGGGGAAACCCAGGCUAAUACCGCAUACGUCCUACGGGAGAAAGCAGGGGCUCUUCGGACCUUGCGCUAUCGGAUGAGCCUAUGUCGGAUUAGCUGGUUGGUGAGGUAAUGGCUCACCAAGGCGACGAUCCGUAGCUGGUCUGAGAGGAUGAUCAGCCACAUCGGGACUGAGACACGGCCCGAACUCCUACGGGAGGCAGCAGUGGGGAAUAUUGGACAAUGGGCGCAAGCCUGAUCCAGCCAUGCCGCGUGUGUGAAGAAGGCCCUCGGGUUGUAAAGCACUUUCAGUGGGGAAGAAAGCCUUGGGGUUAAUACCCUCGAGGAAGGACAUCACCCACAGAAGAAGCACCGGCUAACUCCGUGCCAGCAGCCGCGGUAAUACGGAGGGUGCGAGCGUUAAUCGGAAUUACUGGGCGUAAAGCGCGCGUAGGUGGCUUGAUAAGCCGGUUGUGAAAGCCCCGGGCUCAACCUGGGAACGGCAUCCGGAACUGUCAGGCUAGAGUGCAGGAGAGGAAGGUAGAAUUCCCGGUGUAGCGGUGAAAUGCGUAGAGAUCGGGAGGAAUACCAGUGGCGAAGGCGCUYUGGACUGACACUGACACUGAGGUGSGAAAGCGUGGGUAGCAAACAGGAUUAGAUACCUGGUAGUCCACGCCGUAAACGAUGUCGACUAGCCGUUGGGAGCCUCGAGUUCUUAGUGGCGCAGUUAACGCGAUAAGUCGACCGCCUGGGGAGUACGGCCGCAAGGUUAAAACUCAAAUGAAUUGACGGGGGCCCGCACAAGCGGUGGAGCAUGUGGUUUAAUUCGAUGCAACGCGAAGAACCUUACCUACCCUUGACAUCGUGCGAACUUGGUAGAGAUACCUUGGUGCCUUCGGGAACGCACAGACAGGUGCUGCAUGGCUGUCGUCAGCUCGUGUUGUGAAAUGUUGGGUUAAGUCCCGUAACGAGCGCAACCCUUGUCCCUAUUUGCCAGCGAUUCGGUCGGGAACUCUAGGGAGACUGCCGGUGACAAACCGGAGGAAGGUGGGGASGACGUCAAGUCAUCAUGGCCCUUACGGGUAGGGCUACACACGUGCUACAAUGGUCGGUACAAAGGGUUGCAAAGCGGCGACGUGGAGCUAAUCCCAGAAAGCUGAUCUCAGUCCGGAUCGGAGUCUGCAACUCGACUCCGUGAAGUCGGAAUCGCUAGUAAUCGUGAAUCAGAAUGUCACGGUGAAUACGUUCCCGGGCCUUGUACACACCGCCCGUCACACCAUGGGAGUGGACUGCMCCAGAAGUGGUUAGCCUAACUUCGGAGGGCGAUCACCMCGGUGUGUUCAUGACUGGGGUGAAGUCGUAACAAGGUAGCCGUAGGGGAACC
rnacentral:rRNA from 1 species